UACGAAGGGGGCUAGCGUUGCUCGGAAUCACUGGGCGUAAAGGGUGCGUAGGCGGGUUUUUAAGUCAGGGGGGAAAUCCUGGAGCUCAACUCCAGAACUGCCUUUGAUACUGAAGAUCUUGAGUCCGGGAGAGGUGAGUGGAACUGCGAGUGUAGAGGUGAAAUUCGUAGAUAUUCGCAAGAACACCAGUGGCGAAGGCGGCUCACUGGCCCGGUACUGACGCUGAGGCACGAAAGCGUGGGGAGCAAACAGG
rnacentral:rRNA from 1 species